GUGAAUCAUCGAAUUUUUGAACGCAAAUUGCACUCUCUUCGGAGAGUAUGCCUGUUUGAGGGUCAGUAUUAAUAAAAAUCGGUGUGUUGCUUCUUUGUGACGCUCCGGAGUUUGGGUCAUCUUAAUAUCCUUUAGGUUUUAAGAGGCUUAAAAUUGACUUUUUUUCGGAUUUUUGGUUGACAUUAAUUUUUUUUUUUUUUUGGUUUGCUUUAU
rnacentral:misc_RNA from 1 species